GGACCAUCAUGUCGGUCGUGCCUCGGUACGUACUGGUAUUGUUAGUUUCUCCCUUCUGAAGAACCAUGAUGUCAUUUAUUUGGUGUUGUGGGGAAUCAGGACUGUUACUUUGAAAAAAUUAGAGUGUUUAAAGCAAGCUAACGCUUGAAUACAUUAGCAUGGAAUAAUGAAAUAGGACGUUCGAUCCUAUUUUGUUGGUUUCUAGGACAGACGUA
rnacentral:rRNA from 1 species